ACCCUUUCUGAUCACUGCAGAACAGCCUUUGGAUAUACUCUGUAGAAUGGUUUUUCUCUCUUGAUAUGAAAUGAUUUUAAGAGAAGCUAAUGGAAGAGGAGAGUCAAACUUCUUUCCCCAGUGUACCAGCUGCAAGAGAAGAGGUUGGAGUUUGUUUUUCAUAGAAUCUCAGGUAGUCUCUUUAUUUUGCUACGAGAUGCAGACAGAUCACUUUGCCAGCUGUCAAGGCAAAUAUUGCUGUAUAGUCCUUGGUCUCAACAACAUAUUUAGUAUCCUGGUGAUGGGUGCCUUCAAAGGACUGGACAGAACAAACUUCAUACUGCACCUGUGUUUUAGGUUCUCUGCUCUGCAGAAAGCUGCACUGUUUGGAAGAAGUGAGAUUGUCUUUCCUUACAGCUGCGACGCUGCACCACUCUCGACAUAGCCUGCUUUUCCCCCCAUUUACCUGGGCGGCUGCUGCUGUUUCUGCUGCUGCUGGGGCUGCUGCAGUCUCACUGCCUGCGCUUCACCCUGGCUUGUCUGACUCGAGACUCACUCGUCUGCACAUUGCUAAGGAAGAAGAGCCAUGGAGCCGCAUUUUUUUCUGUUGGUUCUGGAAGCAAAGGGUUGUG
rnacentral:lncRNA from 1 species